rnacentral:rRNA from 1 species
AACGAACGCUGGCGGCAUGCCUAACACAUGCAAGUCGAACGAGACCUUCGGGUCUAGUGGCGCACGGGUGCGUAACGCGUGGGAACCUGCCCUUAGGUUCGGAUAACUCCCCGAAAGGGGUGCUAAUUCCGGAUAAUGUCUUCGGACCAAAGAUUUAUCGCCUUUGGAUGGGCCCGCGUUGGAUUAGCUAGUUGGUAGGGUAAAAGCCUACCAAGGCGACGAUCCAUAGCUGGUCUGAGAGGAUGAUCAGCCACACUGGGACUGAGACACGGCCCAGACUCCUACGGGAGGCAGCAGUGGGGAAUAUUGGACAAUGGGCGAAAGCCUGAUCCAGCAAUGCCGCGUGAGUGAUGAAGGCCUUAGGGUUGUAAAGCUCUUUUACCCGGGAUGAUAAUGACAGUACCGGGAGAAUAAGCUCCGGCUAACUCCGUG